CGGCUCGGGUCCUGCUCGGGUUUUCAGCUCUUUUCCCCCUGAAUUGGCUUCCUCCCGGGUCUGCUCACUAGGAAGCGCCCGAACCUCGGAGGCAGCCACGGGUCUCGCGACGCGGCGAAAACCGCUCCAGCAACUUUGAGCCAGCCCUGUCCGCAGCCUGCAAGUUUGAGGACUUCCCUUCCGGGCGGGAAGAUGCCCGAGGUUUUCCCAGGGGAAUUUCGGAAUUAAAAACUUUUAAAUGAAAGUAACGGUAUUCCCCCUCCACCCUGUCUCUUUCCUCCCGUGCCUUUCGGAUAAAGUAUGCAUUGCCAACUUCGCACCCGGCAGAGAUUUCACAUCGUCACUGUCCUGGCGUUAAAGUUCCCAGUCCGCCGAUCAGAGGGUGAAGCUGGCCCUUUGUGCUUAGGCCUUUGGGGAGACCCCGUUCCCCGUUCUCUCGGCGGCCAGUGGAGGCGCGCUGGUGUCACUGCCCCGCUCUGAGCACCCCCUCCCAGCCUGCAUCUGUCACUCGGAAUGUCGGCCUGUCACUCGGGGCAUACUGUUCUGGGACUGCCGGCCCCUGACUCUGCUGCUCAUUGAUCAACGCCUGGAGAUCCCAAGAAGGGCAGAGAAGAUUUCAAAGGCGUUCUUCCAACAGAAACGAGUAUCACAGAAAUAACAAAUGGCAGUCUUUACGAUGCUCAGUAGAGAAGGCACCAGGCACCACUCCCAGGCCACGUCAAUCAAACACUAAACUGAAUGUACUCCUUGGAUCGGUCUGGUUUUUGGAUAGUAUGCUUAGACCUCUAAGAAAUUACACAGGCUUUCCCUACCCCGAUUUUAAUCCUUAUAAAAUUAGGUUACAAUGAAUGCCAAGGGAUAUCCUGACUGGGUGAUGUAUUCCAUACUGUAGCAAGGGAGGUACAAGAAGGAGGGGGAGACCCCAUUUAUUGUGGUGGUCCCUAUCCCCUGCCCACCCUUCCUUCUGCCAGCCUCUGAGCACUCUGACAUCUUUGCCACUGCCAGCAUCAAGUUUAAAUGACCACUGCAAGCCUGCUUCAGUCUACCAGAUAAUUUGGCCUUUGGGAGACUUCUCUGCAGAGAGAGAGAGCAGAACCUUCCAGAAUGAAGACAGUGGGCCUUGGUAGGCCACCUUGGAGGAGGAGGAGGAUCUGGGAAGAGGGGAGCCCUAGGAGACAGGAAAAGAUGAAAGACCCCUUCUUGAUGAUCACAAUCAGCCCAGCUGUGAACACCAGCCAAGGACUCUUGCUCGGACCCACGCAGAUGUGUCUUCUAGAUGAUUAAUGGGGAAUCAGGAGCAAAGGGGAGGGGAGAGAGAGACAAAGGCAUGUAGGAAUUUGGAAGGAAUAGAGGGGCAGGAGGCAACAGAAAGAGGGGAGGAGAAUGCAGGGUGAUAAAAUAUUUACUGUCUUUUUGGGGAGGAAAGGCGAAGAAGGUAAGUAAUGAAUGAAAGUGGGGGAGUGGGGAGUGGGGGGCGGGAGAGGAGGAGGUGAGGACAAGGUGACCAGGCUUGGGGUGAAGGGUGGGGAGUUUGCCCAGGGAAUCACAUAUUGUCAUCAAAAAACCCUGCUCCCUUAGCUCACAGCUCAUCACUAGGAACUGGGGUUGCCAGACAGCACUUUGGUGGAGACUAGCUCUGUUUCCCUUCUCCUGGAAAAUGCUAGCAAGGGACUGGGCCGUGCUUCCUUUUGGGUUGCUGAUGAGCAAAGUGGGGUCCCUUUGGCUGGAUCCAUCCAAUCACCUUAAUUGGGAAAAUGGAAAAUCAUACUCAGCCAGGCCAGAGGCCUAAUUAAAAGAUGGUUGUUUAGUUA